rnacentral:rRNA from 1 species
ACUCCUGCGGGAGGCAGCAGUGGGGAAUAUUGCACAAUGGGCGCAAGCCUGAUGCAGCCAUGCCGCGUGUAUGAAGAAGGCCUUCGGGUUGUAAAGUACUUUCAGCGGGGAGGAAGGCAAUACGGUUAAUAACCGUGUUGAUUGACGUUACCCGCAGAAGAAGCACCGGCUAACUCCGUGCCAGCAGCCGCGGUAAUACGGAGGGUGCAAGCGUUAAUCGGAAUUACUGGGCGUAAAGCGCACGCAGGCGGUCUGUCAAGUCGGAUGUGAAAUCCCCGGGCUCAACCUGGGAACUGCAUUCGAAACUGGCAGGCUUGAGUCUUGUAGAGGGGGGUAGAAUUCCAGGUGUAGCGGUGAAAUGCGUAGAGAUCUGGAGGAAUACCGGUGGCGAAGGCGGCCCCCUGGACAAAGACUGACGCUCAGGUGCGAAAGCGUGGGGAGCAAACAGGAUUAGAUACCCUUGUAGUCCC